rnacentral:rRNA from 1 species
UACGAAGGGGGCAAGCGUUGUCCGGAUUUAUUGGGCGUAAAGAGCGUGUAGGCGGCCAGACAGGUCCGUUGUGAAAACUAGAGGCUUAACCUCUAGACGUCGAUGGAAACCGUCUGGCUAGAGCCCGGAAGAGGAGAAUGGAAUUCCUGGUGUAGCGGUGAAAUGCGCAGAUAUCAGGAAGAACACCCGUGGCUAAGGCGGUUCUCUAGUACGGUACUGACGCUGAGACGCGAAAGCGUGGGGAGCGAACAGG